GCCGGGAUGGUGAAAUUGGCAAACACUCGGGACUUAAAAUCCCGCGCCCUUUUUUCGGGCUUGCCGGUUCAAGUCCGGCUCCCGGCACCA
rnacentral:tRNA from 1 species